AUGGCGUCCGGCUUGGUUGUUGUAUCCCAGCCACUGGCUUCCGCUCCAGCCAUUUCCUCUCCUAUAAAUGCCAGCCCUUCCCUCCUCCUUGCAGCACCAGCAGCUAACGCCGAGCACUUCGUCUCACUCUCACCACCUCAAGCGAUGGCCUCCGGCGGCGGCAUGGCAGCGCUUCUGAGGAACAAGAUGUUCGUCUCCUGCGUGAUGCUCCUCGUGGUCCUCCUGAUGGCCACGCAGAUAGCGGCGGCGGGCGGCGGGGCACGCCGGCUCCUGUGGUGCGGCUAUAGAAACUGCAACUGCCGCACUUGCCCCAUAUAUGGGUGGGCGUGCUGCGGCAUGUGUUGCCCGCCGUAG
rnacentral:rRNA from 1 species